UACAGAGGGUGCAAGCGUUAAUCGGAAUUACUGGGCAUAAAGCGCACGUAGGCGGGUCCACAAGUCGGUUGUGAAAUCCUGGGGCUUAACCUCAGAACUGCGACCGAUACUAUGGACCUAGAGGGUGAGAGGGGAGAGUGGAACUUCUGGUGGAGCGGUGAAAUGCGUAGAUAUCAGAAGGAACACCGGUGGCGAAAGCGACUCUCUGGUUCACUUCUGACGCUGAGGUGCGAAAGCUAGGGGAGCAAACGGGAUUAGAAACCCUAGUAGU
rnacentral:rRNA from 1 species